rnacentral:rRNA from 1 species
UACGUAGGGUGCAGGCGUUAAUCGGAAUUACUGGGCGUAAAGCGUGCGCAGGCGGUUUGCUAAGGCCGGUGUGAAAUCCCCGGGCUUAACCUGGGAACUGCGCUUGUAACUGGCAAGCUAGAGUGUGGCAGAGGGGGGUGGAAUUCCAGGUGUAGCAGUGAAAUGCGUAGAGAUCUGGAGGAACACCGAUGGCGAAGGCAGCCCCCUGGGCUAACACUGACGCUCAUGCACGAAAGCGUGGGGAGCAAACAGG